rnacentral:rRNA from 1 species
GAUGAACGCUGACAGAAUGCUUAACACAUGCAAGUCGAUGGGGAAGUGGUGCUUGCACCAUGGUAACCAUGGCGGACGGGUGAGUAACGCGUAAGGAACUUGCCUGCGGGACUGGGAUAACAGCAGGAAACUGCUGAUAAUACCGGAUAAGGUCAUUAAGCUGCAUAGCUUAGUGAUGAAAGGAGACGCCUGCGGAGAGCCUUGCGUCCUAUUAGCUAGUUGGAGGGGUAACGGCCCACCAAGGCGAAGAUAGGUAGCCGGCCUGAGAGGGUGGACGGCCACAAGGGGACUGAGAUACGGCCCUUACUCCUACGGGAGGCAGCAGUGGGGAAUAUUGGACAAUGGGGGCAACCCUGAUCCAGCAAUUCUGUGUGCACGAAGACGGUUUUCGGAUUGUAAAGUGCUUUCAGCAGGGAAGAAG